rnacentral:rRNA from 1 species
AGAACGAACGCUGGCGGCAGGCUUAACACAUGCAAGUCGAACGCCCCGCAAGGGGAGUGGCAGACGGGUGAGUAACGCGUGGGAACGUGCCUUUCGGUUCGGAACAGACCCGGGAAACUGGGAUUAAUACCGGAUAAGCCCUUACGGGGAAAGAUUUAUCGCCGAAAGAUUGGCCCGCGUCUGAUUAGCUAGUUGGUGAGGUAACGGCUCACCAAGGCGACGAUCAGUAGCUGGUCUGAGAGGAUGAUCAGCCACAUUGGGACUGAGACACGGCCCAAACUCCUACGGGAGGCAGCAGUGGGGAAUAUUGGACAAUGGGCGCAAGCCUGAUCCAGCCAUGCCGCGUGAGUGAUGAAGGCCCUAGGGUUGUAAAGCUCUUUUGUGCGGGAAGAUAAUGACGGUACCGCAAGAAUAAGCCCCGGCUAACUUCGUGCCAGCAGCCGC